rnacentral:lncRNA from 12 species
CAUGACUGGGGCAAAUCAAAACAAAUAAUGUAGAAAUAGUAGUGUAACAUGGUUACUGAGCAGAAUUGCUCAUGAACACAUGAAGCAUUCCCAAUGUAAUUGGAAAAAAUUCUGUCAAGAAUUGGAGAAACUGUAGGUCAGAACGAGAAUAAGUAAAAUUUAUUGCUGAUAUGUCUGUUUUAUAUCCUGGACUGGAAAACGUGUUACAUUACCAUAGGAAACAAGCAUUUAAUUAAAUUGCUUUUUGUCUUUCAUUCAGAUUACUCCAGGUCUUGUUACAUGUGACAAGUCAUUUUAGCAAUCGAAAGAUGGAUUAUUAUGCAUGGAGUCAGAACUAAUAGACUACAUGAUUUGAAGUAUAGUUCGUUUUGAGCCAUGGUGAACACUGAGAUUGCCACAUCAACUCAACUAAUGUCUCUAUGAGAGAGAAUAAUGAAUAAAAAGGAAUGAGAAAUGAACGGCCAAUGGCUGUUAUUGAACCUCUGCAUAGCCUUGAAACUGGAGAUGAAAAGGGUUUACAUUUUGGGGGAAAACCUACUAGUUUAAGGAAACAAAUGAAAGGCCUUCUGGUUUGAAUAUUUAUUUUAAUGAGGAGAAAGCCCAUUUGGAUGAAAAAGGUGAAGAAAAAGCAAGUUUAUGCUCCCCUGAUGUGCUCUAUGAUCACGUCUGUCUUAUCCAGCUCUAAUUUUCUUUGAAUUUAACUCAUCUGUAUGACCAGACAUCUGUGAGUAUUUAUGCCUUUUUUGGUUAUGUGCUGUCCCGUUCUGGCUAUCCAUCAAAUCCAGAACAGACUUCCCAGCAACGUUUUCUACAAAAUGUAGAGUAGAAUGAUAACUGAUUAGCAUUACGUGAUAAAUGGACAUUCUUCAGCUGAAACUGUAAAGUGCAAAACAGCUGAGACAACAUAUGAGCAGGAAAUAUAGUGCACAGUCUGUCUUUUGGUUCCUGUUCACACAGCUAAUUUUU